rnacentral:rRNA from 1 species
UGGGGAAUAUUGGACAAUGGGCGCAAGCCUGAUCCAGCAAUGCCGCGUGUGUGAAGAAGGCCUUCGGGUUGUAAAGCACUUUUAUCAGGAGCGAAACGCUGUCGGCUAAUACCCGGCGGAACUGACGGUACCUGAGGAAUAAGCACCGGCUAACUUCGUGCCAGCAGCCGCGGUAAUACGAAGGGUGCAAGCGUUAAUCGGAAUUACUGGGCGUAAAGCGUGCGUAGGCGGUUUCUUAAGUCUGCUGUGAAAUCCCCGGGCUCAACCUGGGAAUGGCAGUGGAUACUGGGAGGCUAGAGUGUGUCAGAGGGUGGUGGAAUUCCCGGUGUAGCGGUGAAAUGCGUAGAGAUCGGGAGGAACAUCAGUGGCGAAGGCGGCCACCUGGGACAACACUGACGCUGAGGCACGAAAGCGUGGGGAGCAAACAGGAUUAGAUACCCUGGUAGUCCACGCCCUAAAGCGAUGCGAACCGGAUGUUGGUCUCAACUCGGAGAUCAGUGUCGAAGCUAACGCGUUAAGUUCGCCGCCUGGGGAGUACGGUCGCAAGACUG